rnacentral:lncRNA from 1 species
UUACUUGACUGUUGGCUGUUGUGUCGAAUAGAGGUACCAUAUAGAAUGGCGGAUGAUUUCAUCCAAAUGAUUUUAUAACAUCAAGCAAUUUAAAGUAAAGUAAAAAGUUACCAGCAAGGGUUGUCGAGUUAGGGAGACAUGUGUGUGACAACUCCCGUUGGAGCCUAAUAGGAAUCAUUCGCCAUUUGGGAGAAAUCCUACCAUGAAGUCAUAGACCUUAUUUGACCACCUAGAGAAACCACUACAGCCACAGUCAAGUCAUCAUGGGAGUAUGUCGAUUUGGGAACAAGCUAUGGGAGCGUUCCAGCUCAAUUUUCGUCUUGGCACCUGGGCCUACAGGAGUCAUGGGGUCGCACCAUCCUGGUGCAUCAUUUUCUAGGAUGCAACCGCAACCUCGUUUGGGAACAUUUAGUGAGGUGUUGUAGUAACUAUUGGUUUUUUUAUAUUUCAGACUAUCUGUUAAAUACACUGUUUUUUUUUUCCAGAUUUAGGUUACCUCUGGUUUUUUUUUGACAUAUUUGUAUAUUAGAUUAUUUGGUUCCCAAACUUUGUAUCUACGGUAACUUCUUGUGCACAGGAAUAAGCCUAGAGAAAAUUAGGUUUUUAAUACUUUAUUAUUGCUUUGAUAUUGGUUUAUGUAAUUCGGGUAAAUUUAUUUUGUAAUAUUACUAGCUUGUUUCCCAAAUAUUUUACUGUUAUUCGCUUUAUUCCAUUUGUUCAGUUAAUUUAGGUCAUCGUCGGUAUUUAUCUCAACUUCAUUUCUACUUUAGUCAAUUGUAUAUUUAACUUUAUUUAUUCAUUAUUGUAUUUUCCCUUAGUGAGGCUUGGGCCUAUUUAUUUGUAUUAUUUUCAUCUUUGUCGGUUUCAAUUCAGUUGUACGUAGCAGGCGUACUAUAACCAUUUGGUAGAAGACUUAUGUAAUUUUGUACCCUAUAUGUUAGUGAAAGGUACUUAUACCUGUAAUUUUGUAACAGGUAACAUUGUUGUUAUCUUAGGUUGAACAUAACUUUUGCAAACUUUUGUCAUGUUAGAGUCACAUAAUAUGAACUUGUUUAACUCAGAGAUUGUUAAAAAUCUGGUAGUUCAUUUUAAUAAAUGUUUAUUUAUUUUGUA